AGGAAUAAAUCAGUUACGUGGGAUCUACUUUGAAGACUGGAGAGAAAUAAUUCAUUUCCAUUUGGUUGGUGGAGAUUUUAAUGAUAUUCUCUCUGCACAUGAAAAACAAUAAGGUUUACCAAGGGAAGAGGCUAGAAUGGAGGUGUUCCAUAAAAUGUUGGAGGAGUGCCAUUUGGAGGAUAUUGGUUUUUCGAGAUCAUGGUUUAC
rnacentral:lncRNA from 1 species